GACGAACGCUGGCGGCGUGCUUAACACAUGCAAGUCGAACGGAAAGGCCCUGCUUUUGUGGGGUGCUCGAGUGGCGAACGGGUGAGUAACACGUGAGUAACCUGCCCUUGACUUUGGGAUAACUUCAGGAAACUGGGGCUAAUACCGGAUAGGAGCUCCUGCUGCAUGGUGGGGGUUGGAAAGUUUCGGCGGUUGGGGAUGGACUGGCGGCUUAUCAGCUUGUUGGUUGGGUAGUGGCUUACCAAGGCUUUGACGGGUAGCCGGCCUGAGAGGGUGACCGGCCACAUUGGGACUGAGAUGCGGCCCAGACUCGUACGGGAGGCAGCAGUGGGGAAUAUUGCACAAUGGGCGGAAGCCUGAUGCAGCAACGCCGCGUGCGGGAUGACGGCCUUCGGGUUGUAAACCGCUUUCGCCUGUGACGAAGCGUGAGUGACGGUAAUGGGUAAAGAAGCACCGGCUAACUACGUG
rnacentral:rRNA from 1 species